rnacentral:rRNA from 1 species
GAUGAACGCUGGCGGCGUGCCUAAUACAUGCAAGUCGAGCGAACGGACGAGAAGCUUGCUUCUCUGAUGUUAGCGGCGGACGGGUGAGUAACACGUGGAUAACCUACCUAUAAGACUGGGAUAACUUCGGGAAACCGGAGCUAAUACCGGAUAAUAUUUUGAACCGCAUGGUUCAAAAGUGAAAGACGGUCUUGCUGUCACUUAUAGAUGGAUCCGCGCUGCAUUAGCUAGUUGGUAAGGUAACGGCUUACCAAGGCAACGAUGCAUAGCCGACCUGAGAGGGGGAUCGGCCAAACUGGAACUGAGACACGGUCCAGACCCCUAGGGGAGGCAGCAGUAGGGAAUUUUCCGCAAUGGGCGAAAGCCUGAGGGAGCAACGCCGGGGGGGUGAUGAAGGUUUUCGGAUCGUAAAACUCUUUUAUUAGGGAAGAACAUAUGUGAAAGUAACUGUGCAAAUCUUGACGGUACCUAAGAAGAAAGCCACGGCUAACUACGU